UACGUAGGGGGCAAGCGUUGUCCGGAAUCACUGGGCGUAAAGCGCGCGCAGGCGGCCAUCUACGUCUGGGGUGAAAGCCCGGAGCUCAACUCCGGGAUUGCCUUGGAUACGGGAUGACUUGAGGAUCGGAGAGGCAAGGGGAAUUCCACGUGUAGCGGUGAAAUGCGUAGAGAUGUGGAGGAACACCUGUGGCGAAGGCGCCUUGCUGGCCGAUUUCUGACGCUGAGGAGCGAAAGCGUGGGGAGCGAACAGG
rnacentral:rRNA from 1 species